GGGCGCUUGGUCUAGGGGUAUGAUUUUCGCUUCGCAUUAACCAAAAUGUCUGUGAAAGGUCGUGGGUUCAAUUCCCACAGCGUCCA